GUUCAGUGAACUUAUACCUCAAAAGCAAACGCUGUCUAAGAGAUGCAGAAAAAAUCUAUCUGAAAUAGUGAGGCUCUGAAAAAAGUUUCAAGGUACAGUAAAGUGGAGCCACAUAGAGGAGUUUUAUAAUAAAGAUCGCGAGAAUCCCAACCGUGUUUGCUCCAGCUUUAACCCAGCACCACUUACAACCAGUACAGAAUGGCAAACAGAAAAUCAAAGAGCGCCUAGCAGAUCAAAUUUUAAGCCAUUCGGUUGCAGUUGGAAUAUUUGCCAAAAUGAAUGAUGACAAGACGCCCCUGGAACAACUGUCGCUGGACAAGCUUUUCGACUGAACGGAGAUUCGACCGACAGGAAAGAGGUAUAAACACUUAUUAUAAUAAUACUUGACAUCUGUAAUUGUGGAUGUGAUCCAAACCCCACGUCGGUCCAAUUAAAAACUAGCUUAGGCAAUUAGUAGCAGCGUUUUUAAUACGCUGAAAUUAUUAUUCUUCGAAGACACUAAACCUAGCUGCGCAACUGAAUAUCCCUGUAACAGCCAGAUGGAACCUCCAACCUCCCAGGGAAAUUAAGUGGCAUCGCCGACUCAGCUACGCCUACGUCUGGCUAUGCUCUCGG